AUCAAGUGUAGUAUCUGUUCUUAUCAGUUUAAUAUCUGAUACGUGCCCUACCCGGGCACCAUAUAUUAAAUUGAUUUUUGGAACAGGGAGAUGGAAUAGGGGCUUGCUCCGUCCACUCCACGCAUCGACCCGGUAUUGCAGUACUUCCGGGAACGGUGCACCCCCCUAAACUGUGGCUGUGAGCAACCAGGAAGCAGAGUUGCGACAACGGAAGUUCAAAACGCUUGAUCGUCACGUGAUUCGCGUAGACACUGGCGCCCAGCAGCAGCCCUGCGUUUCCGCCAUUUCGGAGCAGUCCACUACUUUCUAUGGCAAUAUCAGCUGUUUUGUUAAAAAAAAAAAAAAAAAAACCGUACAUUAAAGCUAAAAUCCAACUUGAAUGAUGACAACACAGAAUAAAAUACUAUCGCUAGUGAUCAUCAAAUCCUUUUAACAGUUUAUUUUACAGACUUAGUGUUUAAGUCUUCCACUUUUUUCACAAAACCUUUGCUCUCUAGAAACCCAGUCAGUUUGGGUUAAUUCUUUGAAGUUCAAGUAUUAGCAUUAUAAACACUGAAUUAAUACCAACAUAUGAAAUUAAAUUAAGGACAUGCUUUUUGUUUUUGAUUUUUUUUUUUUUUUUUUUUGGUAAUUUGUAGUCAAUAAAUGCAUUGGUUACAAUAGUUAUAUAAUACACCGACAUGUGAAUGCAGUAUGUGUAUGUAGCUACAGCAAUGUUGUUUUUAAAAGAUAAUAAUCUGCUAAUAUUUGAGGAUUAGUGUGGUCAGCCAGCAUUGCCUGCCUUGUUAACGUAUUUCUGGCUAACGUUACCUUGGUUAAAGGCCGUGUUGCAGUUGUUUUGAAGUAUUUUUAUGAUCUUAAACUUUUGUCAUGUUCACUAUGGUUUCAGAAGGACAUGAGACCUGCAGGUGACAGGUGAUUAUCUUAAAAAAUCCAUUGCAAACAAGUGAAAUGUAACAUUUAAUUUAGUGAAAUUUAAUUAAUCUUAAUGUUUACAAUUCUUAUGCACCCCAUGCACUUGUUACUAUAUAAAUUAAUACAUAAUAUAUUAAAUUCUAAAACAAAACAUGAUUAUAUACAUACACACUGACUUUUGCACUGAUUUAGCGCAAUGGAUUUAUACAUUUCUAACAAACUGCAUGUCAAGCAUUUUGUCUGCCCUUUCCUCCAUGUUCUUGUAGUCUCCACUAUGGUUUGCAGGGUUGCAUGAGGAUUAUCCAGUCACUCAGAGAAAGCAGUAUGAAUGUACGGUUUCCCUACUGACACGGAGAGGAGAAAAUAUGCUCCAGUCAGCAGGAGCAAUCUAAAUAGAAAUAAAGAUUGUGUGCUAAAUUUAGUGUUAAUCAUACUUAGGUGUAUCUGCUCUUUUCACAAAGACCAACACUGGGAAGUUUAAUGUUUAUUAAAGGUUUAUUAAAAAUAAGGAGCAAGGAAAGGUUUGUAAAAUCCAAAGAGAGACUCAGGGUGAGGAUACAGCAUCAUUGCAGGGAGUCUUCAGGAUCUGCUGAAUCCCCUUUGUGCUUCUUGUGUUGAAAGCAUGAUAAAGAAGACAAAAACUGAGAAAUUAUAUUAGCCCAUAUACAGUAGUAUAUAAUGUAGUUUUGGUAUUUUGUAUAAUUCCCCAUUUAGCCUAGUAUGAUUUGUUUUUUUUUAAACCGCUUGCUGCUUUUAAGCAUUCUUUUUAAUCUCACUUAUAAACUUCUCUCUCCCUUUACCAUUAAUCCAAAAAUCAGCUGAGCUGAAACAUAAUAUAGACAGUCAACAGAAUCACAAACAAUGCCCAAAAAACCCACCCAUACAGGUUUGCUUACUCGUAUAUGCAUUCUAAAAUAAGGAUUUUUUUCUUUAUUGCACAUUUAGUAAGUAAUAAAAAGUAUAUUCUCAUUUUACCACUUCCACCCACUAGGGGUGUAUUGGUACACGUAUUUGUACCGAAAAUGUAUUUGUACUGACGAAUACAUAGUUGUAGGCCUUUAGCCCAUUAACCACUUUUAACCACCAUUAUCCACCAAUAAUCGCAAUAAGCUCUGUGUUGUUACUUUCGAUUAAAAAAAAGUCUCAUUCCGCAAAUUCAGUCCAUUUUAUCACGAAAUUCAAACAAUAAAUGCCGUUUUGUCACUCUUUAAUGUGACGUGACAGAUCACUGUACAGGCGCCUCAUUUCAAGCGACAGAGCUGAGCACAAGUGAACAUGAUCAUCUCUUCCUCUUUAAUACUAGUUACAGAAUAAACUUAAAUGAACAUCUGAAGGUAUGUUGAAAGAAACAGUACAACUUACAGAAACGUAUCUCGAUUGCUCAGUAGUGUUUCAACCAAGGAAAGACAUCAAUGAAAUGGCUUGUAAACAAUGUCACAUAGCAUUUACCUCAGGAAUGCCAUUCAGUGUCUACAGUUUGUUAGUUUGCUAGAGAAAUUAACUCUUUCGCUACAUAUAUGCACAUUAGCCUAUAUAUCCAUUAUAUUUUACUUAACCUGUCUUGAUUAUUUAAUGUAUAUGUUUAAUGUAAGUUUAAAUUAAUCUGUCAUGAAAACAAGUAAUGAUGGCCACUGUCAAUGAAUAUAUUUUAACAUCGAAUUGGAGUAGAAACAGAUUGAGAAGUUAAUGCAAAAACUGCCUUAUAUGCAAUUUACAUGUUUGCAUACAAUUUUUAUGUGAGUGUUGAUCAUUAUAUAUAAAAAUAAAUUUAAUAUUUAAAAAAGCAAUUUAAUAAUUUGGGCUCUGUUGUUAAUUGUAACCUUUGAUAUUAUAGUAAUAGGAAAGAAAGUGCUUCCUAUAUAAAUAGUUUACAGCAUUAGCAGAGAGAGAUUUUUUUUUUUUUUUUUUUUUUAAUCCUUAAAUUAAUUAAAAUGUUAAAGAGAGAGACACAAUUUGUUCAGUAAACCAUUGUUUUAAAAAAAGAAAACAAUUUUGUUUAGUUUUCUCCCUCCUGCUGUACUGAAUCCGUACAGAACCAUGACUUCAGUACCGUCAUUUGUGUGUACCAUUACACCUCUACCACCCACCACUAUCACACCCCCCAAUGUCACACUUAAAUGCAGCUCACUCAUGGAUCAUAAUUUAGUCAUUUCAUGUUCCUUUUUUGUGCUGUAUAAGUCUCAUAUUUGUACCACUUAAAUUGUAAUUCAUUAUUAUUGUUUUGAUUCAGAAAUAAGGAAAAAGCUGGUGACACUGCAAGAUUAAUGUUACAGCAUAAUGUGGUGCUGUUUUGUAUGCUUUGGCGAAUCAUCAUAAGAGUUCCUUUUGUUUGAACUUUAUAACGUUCAGCCCAGAAGGUUGAAUUUACAUCAAUUAAAAUGGGGUCAGAUUAAACUGUGUGAGGGUUUGGAGUGUUUAAAAAGAUGAGACGUACAACAGAAAUAAAGUGAGUAAAUAAUAUGUAUUUACAAUAUUCACAAGGAACUUAUAACAACACAAUAAAACUAGAAUAACUUAGGCUGUUAAAAGCAUAGAGUCCGUUUUCUUCAUACCAUAAAACAGUCCGUAAGAAUCCUAGUGUGUUGAAAGUCCCAAUGUGAAAGUGUCCACCGGAAAGGUAAAUCCAUAAAAUGAAACUCCUCAAUCCAGCUUGUGGUCGAUUUGCUUAAUGACCCUGUUUGUUUGCCAUGCUGCCUCCUUUAUGCUGACUUACUUCCUGAUUCCUGCCAUGUGAUCAGUCACAUGACGGGCAGACGCAGACUCAUUUAAAGACAUAUAUUAAAACCAAUAAGAGGAAAAAUUGAUUAAAAAACAUGGAAACCAAUUAAAACUCUAUUAUACAUAAAAUCAUUAUAAUAAAUAGAGCGGUAAAACAUGUAUUUUAUGUGACAGUGUCACAACUUCCCAGAAGUGACUUCAAAAUCAUAGUUCCUGCAUGGCUGCUGUGGUUUCCUUUUAUAGCUUUAAUAAGCACAUAAAAGCAGUUUCAUCACAUAGUCCUAACGUUCUGAUGUUAUAUUUUGUACCCAGUUCUUUCUUUUUAUGUCACAAUAUUCUGAUCAUUGAUCUCAUACAAUUAUGGAUUUGAAGACUUCUGUUGUUCUAUUAGCUCAUUGACGCUUGCAUUGCAUUAUUAGGGGAAUUUGUUUGCUAAGAAAUAGGACGAUACAUUUAUUUAAAAGUGAGACUAGCAAAACCAUUCAAAAACAGAUGGAAACAUGUAGCCUCACCGUCCUUGAGAAUGAUGUUCCCUCAAGUGACCCCCCUACAGGGUGCGUGUGGAACUCAUACUUACCUGGCAGGGGAGACACCAUGAUCAAGAAGGUGGUUCACCCAGGGCGAGGCUCAGCCAUUGCACUCCGGUUGUGCUGACCCCUGCGAAUUCCCCAAAUGUGGGAAUCUCGACUGCAUAAUUUCUGGUAGUGGGGGACUGCGUUCGCGCUCUCCCCUGAUCUUCUGGUUCAAAGAUAGAAUUGUAGUGGUUGUGUGAACAGUGUGUUUAAGAGACACAUAUUCAGAUUAUCUCUGAGAUCACAAAUGCUUGGCACUCUUUCCCAGCUCAGUACAAUUUUCAAAUGUACAUUUAUAUUUGAAACAAUAUAUAUUUAAUAAAACGAUAAAAUAUUCAACAAAACGUUAACAGUAUUUAUUUACCGCUGGUCAAUAGGCGGUUAUACGUUUCUCUAGCAGAUUUUUGCUGCAGCGCUUGCAUGGCAAUUUGUAACAUCAAUCUCACUGUGAGAACAUUUUCUGUCCACCUUUGCAUGUUUGUCUUCAUUUUUUCUAUGAUUGUGCUGACCCCUGCGAAUUCCCCAAAUGUGGGAAUCUCGACUGCAUAAUUUCUGGUAGUGGGGGACUGCGUUCGCGCUCUCCCCUGAUCUUCUGGUCUAAAAAAAGAAUUAAUGUGUGCUCUUAAUCGAGGAGACUUGUCUUAUUUGUUGUCUAGCCAUGAAUGCUUUUUGUUUUAAACUGAAAUCAGUUUGUGUCCAUUUUGCUUCUGGCUGGCGUUAAAGGGUAAGUUCACCCAAAAAUGAAAAUUUUUGUUCCAAAUCAGUAUGAGAUUCUUUCUUCUGCUGAACACAAAAGAAGCCGGAUUCGUUAGGCAGAACCCGAUUUCUCACGAUUCCCAACCCUAACUAUCUAAGUCAAUGGCUACCAUCAACUGUCUGGUUACCAACGUUCUUCAAAAUAUCAUCUUUUGUGUUCAACUGAAGAAAGAAAACUCAUAUGUGUUUGAAACAACUUGAGGGUGAGUGCAUGAUGAGAAUUUUAAUUUUUGGGUGAACUAACCCUUUAAGCAACUGUGAAUCACUUAACUUCAGGAUGGUAAUGAAGUAGAAUCAGGGAAGUGGGAUAUUUUCAGAGGAUUCUAUUCUAUGCAUAUCGUUUAAUAAACAUUAACUUUUGAGAUAAAUUAUUUAUUUACUAAUAAGUCUUCUAAAUAAUUUUGUCCUAAAUAAACCUGUCCUAAUUGAAAGAAAACAAGCUGACAAAAAGAUUGAAUCCAAUAUUUGGUGAUAAGCUAGCAUAACAAGAGAUUUAUAAGCUAUUUUUUUGCAGGCCAGUCAUUUUUGACCGGGAACAUCACUUGUGUUUAUAGGGUUUUCAACACAACACAAGGGCUAACAUUUGGUGAUUUGGAAAUUGCUUUUAAAAGUGAAAGCAGUCUUUGUGGCUCAAUGUUUAAAUUUUUUCAUUUGCAUUCGUAUCAUCUCUCAAAACUGAUAAUAAAUAAUGCAAAACACGAUUUUUUUUUUUUUUUUUUAGCAAAUUAUCUACACAGUUUUUCCCUAUAUGUCUUCCUGCUGAGUUUUACCUGAAUUGCAUUUUAUUUACGCUCAUCAAAAGUUGGUGAGAUUUGUUCUCCUGUCUGCUGCUGCUGCUGCUGCUGAUGAUGAUGAUGAUUGUCACCCUCAGAAUGCAGAGGCUUUCUUUUCAGUGGAUUUUAAAUAAAGAUUCAUCUUUAUUUAAAAGUGAGACUAGCAAAACCAUUCAAAAACAGAUGGAAACAUGUAGUAACGCCUCACCGUCUUUGAGAAUGAUGUUCCCUCAAGUGACCCCUCUACAGGGCGCGUGUUGAGCUCAUACUUACCUGGCAGGGGAGACACCAUGAUCAAGAAGGUGGUUCACCCAGGGCGAGGCUCAGCCAUUGCACUCCGGUUGUGCUGACCCCUGCGAAUUCCCCAAAUGUGGGAAUCUCGACUGCAUAAUUUCUGGUAGUGGGGGACUGCGUUCGCGCUCUCCCCUGA